rnacentral:rRNA from 1 species
AAUCCCGUGAACCAUCCAGUCUUUUAACGCAAGUUGCGCCCGAAACCUUCCGGCUGAAGGCACGCCUGCCUGGGCGUCACGCAUCCCGUCCCCCCCCNNNNNNGAGGGGUGUGCGGAGAUUGGCCUCCCGUGCGCCUCGGCGCGCGGCCGGCCC